GAUGAACGCUGGCGGCGUGCCUAAUACAUGCAAGUCGAGCGAACAGACGAGGAGCUUACUCCUCUGACGUUAGCGGCGGACGGGUGAGUAACACGUGGAUAACCUACCUAUAAGACUGGGAUAACUUCGGGAAACCGGAGCUAAUACCGGAUAACAUGUUGAACCGCAUGGUUCAACAGUGAAAGACGGUCUUGCUGUCACUUAUAGAUGGAUCCGCGUCGCAUUAGCUAGUUGGUAAGGUAACGGCUUACCAAGGCAACGAUGCGUAGCCGACCUGAGAGGGUGAUCGGCCACACUGGAACUGAGACACGGUCCAGACUCCUACGGGAGGCAGCAGUAGGGAAUCUUCCGCAAUGGGCGAAAGCCUGACGGAGCAACGCCGCGUGAGUGAAGAAGGUCUUCGGAUCGUAAAACUCUGUUAUUAGGGAAGAACAAAUGUAUAAGUAACUAUGCACGUCUUGACGGUACCUAAUCAGAAAGCCACGGCUAACUACGUG
rnacentral:rRNA from 1 species